GGAGGCAGCAGUGAGGAAUAUUGGUCAAUGGACGAGAGUCUGAACCAGCCAAGUAGCGUGAAGGAUGACUGCCUAUGGGUUGUAAACUUCUUUUAUACGGGAAUAAGUGAGCCACGUGUGGCUUUUUGUAUGUACCGUAUGAAUAAGGAUCGGCUAACUCCGUGCCAGCAGCCGCGGUAAUACGGAGGAUCCGAGCGUUAUCCGGAUUUAUUGGGUUUAAAGGGAGCGUAGGCGGGUUGUUAAGUCAGUUGUGAAAGUUUGCGGCUCAACCGUAAAAUUGCAGUUGAUACUGGCGACCUUGAGUGCAACAGAGGUAGGCGGAAUUCGUGGUGUAGCGGUGAAAUGCUUAGAUAUCACGAAGAACUCCGAUUGCGAAGGCAGCUUACUGGACUGUAACUGACGCUGAUGCUCGAAAGUGUGGGUA
rnacentral:rRNA from 1 species